rnacentral:rRNA from 1 species
GUCGAGCGAGUUGAUUCCCUUCGGGGAUGAAGCUAGCGGCGGACGGGUGAGUAACACGUGGGCAACCUGCCUUAUAGAGGGGGAUAGCCUUCCGAAAGGAAGAUUAAUACCGCAUAACAUCAGAUUAUCGCAUGGUAGACUGAUCAAAGGAGCAAUCCGCUAUAAGAUGGGCCCGCGUCGCAUUAGCUAGUUGGUGGGGUAACGGCCUACCAAGGCGACGAUCCGUAGCUGAUCUGAGAGGAUGGUCAGCCACACUGGGACUGAGACACGGCCCAGACUCCUACGGGAGGCAGCAGUGGGGAAUCUUGGACAAUGGGCGCAAGCCUGAUCCAGCCAUGCCGCGUGAGUGAAGAAGGCCUUCGGGUUGUAAAGCUCUUUUGCCAGGGACGAUAAUGACGGUACCUGGAGAAUAAGCCCCGGCAAACUUCGUGCCAGCAGCCGCGGUAAAAC